GACGAACGCUGGCGGCGUGCCUAACACAUGCAAGUCGAGCGAGAUCCAUCCAGUGGCAACACUGGUGAAGAUCUAGCGGCGAACGGGUGAGUAACACGUGAGAAACCUGCCCCGGAGACCGGGAUAACCCGAGGAAACUCGGGCUAAUACCGGAUACCCCAUCUCAUCGCAUGUUGAGAUGAGGAAAUGCUCCGACGCUCCGGGAGGUCUCGCGGCCUAUCAGGUAGUUGGUGAGGUAACGGCUCACCAAGCCGAAGACGGGUAGCUGGUCUGAGAGGACGAUCAGCCACACUGGGACUGAGACACGGCCCAGACUCCUACGGGAGGCAGCAGUGGGGAAUCUUGCGCAAUGGGCGAAAGCCUGACGCAGCAACGCCGCGUGCGGGAUGAAGGCUCUCGGGUUGUAAACCGCUUUCAGGAGGGACGAAAUUGACGGUACCUCCAGAAGAAGCCCCCGGCCAACUACGUGCCAGCAGCCGCGGUAACACGUAGGGGGCGAGCGUUGUCCGGAUUUAUUGGGGCGUAAAGAGCUCGUAGGCGGUUAGGAAAGUCGGGUGUGAAAGCUCGAGGCUCAACCUCGAGACGCCACUCGAUACUUCCUUGACUGGAGUCCGGUAGAGGAGUGCGGAAUUCCUGGUGUAGCGGUGAAAUGCGCAGAUAUCAGGAGGAACACCAACGGCGAAGGCAGCACUCUGGGCCGGUACUGACGCUGAGGAGCGAAAAGCGUGGUGAGCAAACAGGAUUAGAUA
rnacentral:rRNA from 1 species